rnacentral:sRNA from 1 species
GAGCGCAACGCAACGCCAGCGUCUGCUGGCACUGAAAGUUCCUGUGGGAAGUUCAGGUAUCAGGGCCGCCCAAUGGGCGGCCUUUUUACUUUCA